rfam:TPA: Bos taurus chromosome 4, whole genome shotgun sequence.
UCCCUGGUGGCUCAGAUGGUAAAGAAUCUGCCUGCAAUGCAGGAGACCUGGGUUCGAUCCCUGGGUUGGGAA